UAGGUUAACGAGGCGAACCGGGGGAACUGAAACAUCUAAGUACCCCGAGGAAAAGAAAUCAACCGAGAUUCCCCCAGUAGCGGCGAGCGAACGGGGAGCAGCCCAGAGUCUGAAUCAGCUUGUGUGUUAGUGGAACGGUCUGGAAAGUCCGACGGUACAGGGUGAUAGUCCCGUACACCAAAAUGCACAGGCUGUGAACUCGAAGAGUAGGGCGGGACACGUGGUAUCCUGUCUGAAUAUGGGGGGACCAUCCUCCAAGGCUAAAUACUCCUGACUGACCGAUAGUGAACCAGUACCGUGAGGGAAAGGCGAAAAGAACCCCGGCGAGGGGAGUGAAAAAGAACCUGAAACCGUGUACGUACAAGCAGUGGGAGCACCUUCGGGUGUGACUGCGUACCUUUUGUAUAAUGGGUCAGCGACUUAUAUUCUGUAGCAAGGUUAACCGUAUAGGGGAGCCG
rnacentral:rRNA from 1 species